UGGUGAUCAAGGAAGAGCAUAGUGCCAGACCUAGAGAGUCUCGCUGUGUCACCCAGGCUGGAGUGCAGUGGCAGGAUCUUGGCUCACUUCAACCUCCACCUCCCGAGUUCUGCCUCAGCCUCCCAAGUAGCUGGGAUUACAGGUCCAGUCACUCCACGCUUGCAGAGUCCAAUUAACAAGAGCAAGUUCUGGUAGAAAGAAGGUGACUUUAUUCCAGAGCUCAGGUGUUUGAACUGAUGUCUGAUGAGGAUGAAUCCAGCGACUACCUCUGCCUGUCCAUCCUGGGCCUCUUCUGUUGCCUUCCCCUAGCCAUCCCAGCCGUGAUCUUUUCUUGCCUGACAAAGAACUACAAUAAAUCCAGUGACUAUGAGCUGGCAGCCAAGACCUCCAAACAAGCCUACUACUGGGCCAUCGCGAGCAUCACUGUGGGAAUCUUAGGUACCAUCUUGUACACCUACCUGAUAUACUUACUUAGAUUGUAAACUGCUUCCCAGCUCUUGAACAAACCACCAAAUAUACACCACAGUGCAAUUUA
rnacentral:lncRNA from 1 species